GACGAACGCUGGCGGCGUGCUUAACACAUGCAAGUCGAACGGAAAGGCCCUUCUUUUGUGGGGUGCUCGAGUGGCGAACGGGUGAGUAACACGUGAGUAACCUGCCCUUGACUUUGGGAUAACUUCAGGAAACUGGGGCUAAUACCGGAUAGGAGCUCCUGCUGCAUGGUGUGGGUUGGAAAGUUUCGGCGGUGGGGGAUGGACUCGCGGCUUAUCAGCUUGUUGGUGGGGUAGUGGCUUACCAAGGCUUUGACGGGUAGCCGGCCUGAGAGGGUGACCGGCCACAUUGGGACUGAGAUACGGCCCAGACUCCUACGGGAGGCAGCAGUGGGGAAUAUUGCACAAUGGGCGGAAGCCUGAUGCAGCAACGCCGCGUGCGGGAUGACGGCCUUCGGGUUGUAAACCGCUUUCGCCUGUGACGAAGCGUGAGUGACGGUAAUGGGUAAAGAAGCACCGGCCAACUACGUG
rnacentral:rRNA from 1 species